UCUGAGGUUUGACGGACAACCUUUAUAAUCAAACUGGUCAGGUUCGGAAGAAAGCAGCCAAGGUUGUGAUAGUUGGGUCGUCAAUACCUCGUUAUU
rnacentral:SRP_RNA from 1 species